rnacentral:rRNA from 1 species
CCUGCGGAAGGAUCAUUAUUGAAUUU